rnacentral:lncRNA from 1 species
ACCAAGAGUGAUCAACUGACCCGGGCAGCCAGAAGAGAUGAUAGGGAUACAUAUUCUUAACGGUGAUAGAGUGGUUUCAUAGAACAAAAUAGGCUGUUCCUGCCCGAGGGAACAUGGACUUCAGUGGAAGAGACACUCAGAAGAGAGCUUCGAAACAAGUAAGAAUUUCAGAUUGUGCUCAGUUCUUUGAAGAAAAACACAUGGGAUAAGUGAGAGACGUGUGACUCUGGGGGCAGAGGCUGUGUGGUCAGGAGGGGGCCCGUCAGUCAAAAGGCCUUGGUUGCCAAGCCAUUGAAACUCCUUCUGCGUCAUGUUGGGCAGAUUACAAUGUAGAAGAUUCCAUAGCUGGGCUGCAGCACCGUCCCUGGAGAGCACAUGACAGGAAUGCAUGUUGGGCAGGAUGUGAAGCUGAGCCCUGGGCUGAAGCAGACAAACUUGACCCCACCUGCGGACAGGACACUUCUGAAGCCGCUGCCUCGGCUUCCACCAGAAGCUGCAUCUCUGUGCUGCUAGAGAUGGAGAGCCCCGUCCUGGCUGGUUCAGUCGGGGCUGUGUUCAGCAGCUAAAGCUGCAUGUACUGUGACCGUCUGAGCCAAAGGCAGGGAAAGAUGCUCUCUAAUCCAUCUGGAAGUGAUUUUGGUAUGUGGUAUGUAAAGUAUUUAAAAAAAACAUAUAGUUUGAGUAAAACUGUUGGUGGUAGGCUAAAAGCUCCUUAAAAACAGGAAGCAUGACUGAAUCACUCUGGUUUCCUCCACUUUCCCAGACAGAAGAGUCACCAACGCAGCCUCCUUGCUCAGGCUGCGCUGCCCCAACUACAGUCAGGGACCCCCCCGCCUUCCCUCUGCUGGGAGGCACCAGCCACCUGUGACUAGUGUCCUGACACCUCCCAUGUCCCCAGCAGACACCUGCCACAGUUGCGUUCGGGGAGAACCCGAGCAAUUAGCCAGCAGCGCCCCCUGGCGCCUCUUUCACCGCAAGUGUUCGGCUCUCAACUUGUUCAACCACCCUCCACCCGCUCCACGGGCAACUUUUCCGGGAAGGCGCCUCCAAAGACCUCUGUGAGUAGCGUAGGCUGCUCUGCUCUGACAACCUCUUCGGGGUAAAUUUCUUUUCCAUUUGAACAGCUUCUCCUUAGUUAAGGAGAAACCGUUAUUGCCCGGUUGCUUUUUCGUCUUUUGGAUGGAGAGAAGCAGAGGAAUUCUGGGCGGAGGCCAACGAUUAGCUGCAACAUCUACUGAUCACUUCCAUGAAGUCUUUGAGCCUUUGUAUAAAUAAAACACCAGCCGGGGGCUCCUUCUGCUCCCAUUGAUGCCCGAGUGCCAACUACAGGUUUGACUCUGAGACCCUCCUUAAAAAAUUAGGAAAAAAAAUUUUUAAAACGUUUUUAAAUUGGAUUUUUAUUGCCUAAGGAGGGAUCUGUAAAAUACGUAGAGUGGGAAGAAUGCAGAUAAAUAAGACCUGAAAGUUGUCCUCAAAUAUAUCAAAGCCAUACUGGAUAGUGGACCUGCUGGAGAAUAGAAAAAUAAA